rnacentral:rRNA from 1 species
AACGAACGCUGGCGGCAUGCCUAACACAUGCAAGUCGAACGGGAUCCUAGCUUGCUAGGUGAGAGUGGCGGACGGGUGAGUAACACGUGGGAAUCUGCCUUUUUGGUUCGGGAUAACCGCGGGAAACUGCGGCUAAUACCGAAUGCCCUCGAGAGAGGAAAGAUUUAUCGCCAGAAGAGGAGCCCGCGUCCGAUUAGGUAGUUGGUGGGGGUAAAAGGCCUACCAAGCCGACGAUCGGUAGCUGGUCUGAGAGGAUGAUCAGCCAACACUGGGACUGAGAUACGGCCCAGACUCCUACGGGAGGCAGCAGUGGGGAAU